AUGAAGGCGGGGGAGCGGCCCAACUCGAAGCUGCUCCGCGGGGGCGGCCGGCAGGAGUCGCGGCGGUUCCGGAUGCUGGCCAUCGUUGUCGGAUUCUUCAUCGUCUCCCUCACCUUCGUCCUCGUCUCCAAGCCCGACGCCAUCCUCUUCGGCCUGAACGGCAAGCUGCCGGCGGACCAGGCGCCGGCGUCCAUACUGAUCCAGCAGAAGGUCAACACGCCGGCCCAGAAGACCUCCACCGACGCCAUCAUCGGUGGAGACCCCAAAGUGGUCGACGAUGAAACCUAUGUAAAGCCAAAAGAGAUCAGAGGCGGCGAGGAAGAGGACCAUAGGGUGCUGAGCGAGCCCGACCCGGCCAGCGGGAUGGCGGAGCCGGCCGCCAACAAGGACGGCGACGCCCGUAAAUCCAGCGACGAGACGUUAGGUGGGGAGAGGAAAGACGAGGCGGAGGAGGAGCGGGACGAGGAGAAGCACGCCAAGGUCACGCUCCCGACCGUCUCCAAUUACACCAUUCAUGACGCCGAGGACGCCGAGAAUGCCAAGCAAGAAGGCUUGAGCUUGAGCAACGUCCAGCAGGAGCAGCAGCAGCAGCAGGGGAGCAAGCCGCUGUGCGACUUCUCGAACUUCCGGGCGAACGUGUGCGAGAUGCGCGGCGACGUGAGGGUGCACCCGAAGGCGACGUCGGUGCUGUUCAUGGAGCCCGAGGGGUCGCAGAGGGACGAGGUGUGGAAGAUCAAGCCCUACCCGCGGAAAGGCGACGAGUUCUGCCUCAGCCACAUCACGGAGCUGACGGUGAAGUCGAGCAAGGUUGCCGCCGAGUGCACCCGGUACCACGACGUGCCUGUGGUGAUCUUCUCGCUCACCGGCUACACGGGGAACCUAUUUCACGACUUCACCGACGUGAUCGUGCCGCUCUUCACCACGGCCAGCCAGUUCGACGGCGAGGUGCAGUUCCUCAUCACGGACAUGGCGCUCUGGUGGACCAUCAAGUACCACACCCUGCUCCAGAAGCUGUCCAAGUACCCCCUUAUCGACUUCAGCAAGGACGACCAGGUGCACUGCUUCAAGCACGCCAUCGUCGGCACGCACGCCUACAUGGAGUUCACCAUCGACGCCACCAAGUCGCCGAACGGGGUCACCAUGGUCGACUUCAACCGGUUCAUGCGGUCGGCCUACUCGCUGCCCAAGGCCGCCGCGGCGGCGCUCGGGGAGAGCCCCAGGGUGAAGCCGAGGCUGCUCAUCAUCAAGCGGCACCGCACCAGGAUGUUCCUUAACCUGGAGGAGAUUAUCGGCAUGGCCGAGGAGCUCGGGUUCGAGGUGGUGAUCGACGAGGCCAACGUGAGCUCCGACAUCAACGGCUUCGCCAAGCUGGUGAACUCGGUGGACGUGAUGAUGGGCGUGCACGGCGCCGGGCUCACCAACUGCGUCUUCCUGCCGCAGAACGCCACGCUCAUCCAGAUCGUGCCCUUCGGCGGCCUCGACUGGAUCUCCCGCACCGACUUCGGGAACCCGUCGGAGAUGAUGGGCCUCCGGUACAAGCAGUACGCCAUUACCGUCGACGAGAGCAGCCUCACCGACCACUACCCGAGGGACCACAAGAUCUUCAAGGACCCCAUCUCCUUCCACAAGCGUGGGUUCGAGUUCAUCAGGCGCACCUUCAUGGACAAGCAGAACGUGAGGCUCGACUGCAAGAGGUUCAGACCUGUGCUGCUGGAGGCACUGGACAACCUCAACCAGUAA
rnacentral:rRNA from 1 species